rnacentral:rRNA from 1 species
GACGAACGCUGGCGGCGUGCUUAACACAUGCAAGUCGAACGCUGAAGCCCUUCGGGGUGGAUGAGUGGCGAACGGGUGAGUAACACGUGGGUAGUCUGCCCUGCACUCUGGGAUAAGCCUUGGAAACGGGGCCUAAUACCGGAUAGGACACAUCGCCGCAUGGUGUGUGUGUGGAAAGUUCCGGCGGUGCAGGUUGAGCCCGCGGCCUAUCAGCUUGUUGGUGGGGUGAUGGCCUACCAAGGCGUCGACGGGUAGCCGGCCUGAGAGGGUGACCGGCCACACUGGGACUGAGACACGGCCCAGACUCCUACGGGAGGCAGCAGUGGGGAAUCUUGCGCAAUGGGCGAAAGCCUGACGCAGCAACGCCGCGUGGGGGAUGACGGCCUCCGGGUUGUAAACCUCUUUCGACCGGGACGAAGGAUUCGUUUGACGGUACCGGUAGAAGAAGCACCGGCUAACUACGUGCCAGCCGCCGCAGUAA